rnacentral:rRNA from 1 species
UGCCAGACUCCUACGGGAGGCAGCAGUGGGGAAUAUUGCACAAUGGGGGAAACCCUGAUGCAGCAACGCCGCGUGAGUGAAGAAGUAUUUCGGUAUGUAAAGCUCUAUCAGCAGGGAAGAAGAAAGACGGUACCUGAAUAAGAAGCACCGGCUAAAUACGUGCCAGCAGCCGCGGUAAUACGUAUGGUGCAAGCGUUAUCCGGAUUUACUGGGCGUAAAGGGAGCGCAGGCGGCGCGCCAAGUCUGAUGUGAAACCCCGGGGCUCAACCCCGGGCAUGCAUUGGAAACUGGCGGGCUGGAGUGCCGGAGAGGUAAGCGGAAUUCCUAGUGUAGCGGUGAAAUGCGUAGAUAUAAGGAAGAACACCAGUGGCGAAGGCGGAUGACUGGACGGCAACUGACGGUGAGGCGCGAAAGCGUGGGGAGCAAACAGGAUUAGAUACCCUAGUA